rnacentral:rRNA from 1 species
UAACGUAGGGGGCAAGGCGUUGUUCCGGAUUUAUUUGGGCGUAAAGAGCUCGUAGGCGGCUUGUCGCGUCGUCCGUGAAAACCUGCGGCUCAACUGCAGGCUGGCGGUCGAUACGGGCAGGCUGGAGUUCGGUAGGGGAGACUGGAAUUCCUGGUGUGAGCGGUGGAAAUGCGCAGAUAUCAGGAGGAACACCAAUGGCGAAGGCAGCACUCUGGGACGUGACUGACGGCUGAGACGCGAAAGCGUGGGGAGCAAACAGG